rnacentral:SRP_RNA from 2 species
GCCGGGCGUGGUGGCGGGUGCCUGUAGUCCCAGCUACUCAGGAGGCUGAGGCAGGAGAAUUGCUUGAACCCAGGAGGUGGGGGUUGCAGUGAGCCGAGAUCACACCACUGCCCUCCAGCCUGGGCAACAGAGCGAGACUCUGUCUCAA